GACGAACGCUGGCGGCGUGCUUAACACAUGCAAGUCGAACGGAAAGGCCCUGCUUUUGUGGGGUGCUCGAGUGGCGCACGGGUGAGUAACACGUGAGUAACCUGCCCUUGACUUUGGGAUAACUUCAGGAAACUGGGGCUAAUACCGGAUAGGAGCUCCUGCUGCAUGGUGGGGGUUGGAAAGUUUCGGCGGUUGGGGAUGGACUCGCGGCUUAUCAGCUUGUUGGUGGGGUAGUGGCUUACCAAGGCUUUGACGGGUAGCCGGCCUGAGAGGGUGACCGGCCACAUUGGGACUGAGGUACGGCCCAGACUCCUACGGGAGGCAGCAGUGGGGAAUAUUGCACAAUGGGCGGAAGCCUGAUGCAGCAACGCCGCGUGCGGGAUGACGGCCUUCGGGUUGUAAACCGCUUUCGCCGGUGACGAAGCGUGAGUGACGGUAAUGGGUAAAGAAGCACCGGCUAACUACGUG
rnacentral:rRNA from 1 species